rnacentral:tRNA from 1 species
AUAUAUAUAUUAUAUAAAUAAUUAAAAUUAAUAUUAUGAAUACUUGAAUUACAAAUAUUUUAUUUUAAAAAUUAAAAAAUAAAUUAAUCUAUAAAACCAAAAGAUCAUUAACAUAUAUAUAAAUUAAGUAAAAAUAAGAUUAUUAAAAAUACAAAAAUUAGUUUUUUUUUUUUUUCAAAAACAAUUAUCUAAUAAAUAUAAAUUUAUUUUAAAUACUUUUUCAAAUAUUAUUAUAAAUA